UGGAGAGUUUGAUCCUGGCUCAGAUUGAACGCUGGCGGCAGGCCUAACACAUGCAAGUCGAACGGUAACAGGAAGCAGCUUGCUGCUUUGCUGACGAGUGGCGGACGGGUGAGUAAUGUCUGGGAAACUGCCUGAUGGAGGGGGAUAACUACUGGAAACGGUAGCUAAUACCGCAUAACGUCGCAAGACCAAAGAGGGGGACCUUCGGGCCUCUUGCCAUCAGAUGUGCCCAGAUGGGAUUAGCUAGUAGGUGGGGUAACGGCUCACCUAGGCGACGAUCCCUAGCUGGUCUGAGAGGAUGACCAGCCACACUGGAACUGAGACACGGUCCAGACUCCUACGGGAGGCAGCAGUGGGGAAUAUUGCACAAUGGGCGCAAGCCUGAUGCAGCCAUGCCGCGUGUAUGAAGAAGGCCUUCGGGUUGUAAAGUACUUUCAGCGGGGAGGAAGGCGAUGCGGUUAAUAACCGCGUCGAUUGACGUUACCCGCAGAAGAAGCACCGGCUAACUCCGUGCCAGCAGCCGCGGUA
rnacentral:rRNA from 1 species